AUCAGCAAGGUUUAAAAGCUACCCAGGUGAUUGCAAUGCACAGCCCAGGAGGAGAACCACUGACUUAAGCAAAUCUAAAUGGGGAUUUUGUUCCCCUAACUCAGCAUCCAAACCUGCCUCACCACACCACAGCCUAUUUGAGAAAAAGCCAGAGGGAUAUCGCAGCACCCUCUUUGGACUGAGUGGUUUAAUACGCCCCUGUGAAGAUAGUCAGACUGCCAGCAGACCACUCAGGACAUGCUCCUCCUGACCUGCACCUUCCGUCACAGCUUGGGCCUGCUACCUGGACUCAAGACAGAAAAACAGCCCUGCAGGGAAAAGCGGACAUGACUAGAUGAUACGAACACAACGGACUCUUGCAUAAUGCACUACAGUUUCCCAGGAGCACCGUGCAUCUAUUUUCUUGCUUCUUUUCAUGCUCCAAUUCACAGUUCUAGAGGUCCUGGGCCCCCACCCUAUCCAGCACUAGAACUGGACUCAGAGGAAGAUAUAACCUAGAGUAGGGAGCAAACAGUUGAAAAAGGAGCUGCUUGGGGAGAGAAAAAAGAGAUUGCAAAAGAGAGGGUCUCAGGGAUAACUCUGCUCUUGGAACAGUGGCCACAGGAAAUGUGGACCCCCAGAGUCAUGAACAAGCUGAAAAGACCAGAGAAGCCGCACCCAGUCAAUGCUUCGCUGUGGAUUUUGUGUUGGUCAAGAAAUAUCGCCUGCCAAAAUUCCCCUAGAACAUUCUCUCUGACUCCAUGUAGGUGCUUGGCUAGUAAAUGGGAAUGCCAUUUUGUUUUAGAUUGUGCCACCCCCUCUUCCAAAACAAGGGGAGAAAUGAUGGGUCUAUAUUGUAAAUUUCCUACCUUAUUAAACAUGGGGACAUGGAAAGCUAAGCAAAGAGAAGAGCUGAGACUUUUACCUAAUCAUCCCUGUCUACAGAAUGUUUGCUAAUUCCUUGUCAAGGAGUGAAUGACAAAGCCAGCCCACAUUUUGUGUAGGAUGUGUCUAGUUAGUUAUAGUUUAAAAUGUAAGUUUUAUGAAUUCACUUAAUUAGUUACUUGUAGUGAAAAAUGAGCCAUUCUCAGGCAAAUCACUUUUUAUUACAAAUUCCAUAUAAGAAUCAUAAAAGGACAUGUAACAUAGCAAAAAAAACUACAUCUGGAUGGGACGCUAAUCACUAGCUAUUGACUCAAUCGACGCCCAGAAAAGGACAGUUCAUCUUUUAUUUCAGUCAUUAUUAAAAGAAGUGGCUGAAGUGCUUGUUCAAAUCUUUAGAUCAUUUUCUAUUGGAUUGUUUUCCUUUUAUUGAUUUAUAAAAACUCUUUAUAUAUUCUGCAUACAAAGACUUUAUCUGAUAUGCAUUUUGCAAAUAUUUUCUCUCACUGUGUGGUUUAUCUUUUAAUUCUCUUGAUAGUGUCUUGUAAUUCUUAUGAAGUUCAAUUUAUCCAUUUUUUUCUUUCACACUUUUGUGGGGGUUUUUUGUCCUAAGUCUAAGCAAACUAAUAAAAAAGAUUAGUUCCUAUAUCUUUUUCUAGAAGUUUUAUAGUUUUAGGUUUUGAUUUUAGGUCUUUGAUGCAUUUCAGAUGGCUGAUAAGCAGAUAAAAAGAUCUUCACCAUCUUUAGCCAUUAGGGAAAUGUGCAUUAAAACCAAAUGGAACUACCACUAUACUCAUAUUAGAAAGGCUAAAAUUAAGAAGAAAAAAACCUGACCAUACCAAGGGCUGCUGAAGAUGAAGAGCAACUGGAAUUCUCACAUAGUGCUCGUGGAAAUG
ensembl:lncRNA